AGCUUAACGAAUCACAAGUACGAGUUACGAAAGAUCGUUUAGCGAAUUACAAGUACGACCGACACGUUAUCGAAGUACAUUCCGCCGUAAUCCGUUGCGUUUAUCGAUACGUGCUAAUAGUCUCGAGUCUCUUCGGAGAUGUGCUUGCCGUUCCGUCAUUGUGUCAAAUCUAUCUUUGAUUUAUAAGUCGCGCAGUGUAAAGUUGUGUUUAAGAAUAAAGUCAGUGAUCGUUGAAUUUAAAUAACGUGACUGUUUAUUCAAAGCCUUUAUCACGCAGUGACAUCCUGAUCAUAGAACCCGCUUACAGACUAACGAACAUUGAAAUCUAAAUCGUAAAAUAAUAUACGAACUAAUAGUGAAAUAAAAUAUCACUGUUAAUCUUUACAUUCAAAAAUCCCUUACAGUAUUUAUAUCAUCAGUGGGAUAUCUUACAGUCUUCCUUUUUCAAAGCUGUAGAUAUCUUACAAAACAUUGUGCGUUAACCUCUAUAACUACGCGACUCGCGUUUCACGAUUCAUAUAUAUAAAUUGUUACGAUUUAUACUUUUGUGCUGCAAUGAGGCCCAAACGCUGAUCAUGAUCUAUAUAUCGCCACCAUACAUCCUUCCGCUUUAUUUUUUUAUGCAUAUUGACGAGUUUAUUACUGCAAAAACUUAGUUGUUGUCCUGUUGAAAACAAAAGGAACAAAUACGCACAUACAGAUCUAUUUCUUUUAUCUGUUUUCUAAGAGGAGUCACUGGAAUUUCGUUUUUUGACCAUUAUAUUAUACAUUAUAGGAAAUAAUUCCAAUUUUAAAUAUUAUACCAUCAGAUACAAAUUAAAGAUGCAGCUAAAAAGUGUCCGUUCUUUCGAGGACCCGUUGAUAAAAAUGAAAUAAAAACACACAUGCUACAAGUUUUGCGAGCGAUUAAACAACGCUACAAGAAAAAAUGGGACAAAACAAAAAUUCUGGACCCUCUAGAUCAUCAUCAAUUGAACGAUGAAUCUGCAUCUGAUGCUCCAUCAUUAUCCGACGAGGACAGUAAUAGUUCUAAGUACAUUACUGAUGAAGAUUCUGAACAACCCUACUGAAAAAAAAUCACUUCACAAAGUUACAUAACGAUGUAAUUAAAACAAGUAUAUAACUGAU